AUAACAACGGUUCUUUAACGGUUAUUUUGGGGGGAGGGGGGUGGAUCAUGCUUUCCAAGCUGAUUAGCUUGAUGGUUACUGGUUGUUUCUUGUGUUAGAUUUUGUUUUUUUUUUUCAUUAUUUUGUCCUGCAACAGUCAAGGAUUUGCCUUCCAGAUGCUGUGGAAGGAAAGGAAAGAUUGGGUCUAACUUUUAGUUUCAGAGGAUCAAAUGCAACAUGCUGAAAGGGAAGUCAGCUUUACCAACCCACUUCAAAGUAUGUGGAGCUGCAAACAGAACGCUGGAAAGAUGUAAAGCCAAGGAAAACUCAGAAUGCUUGGGAAGAGAGAGAGCAUGGACAAGCUAUUCUACUUUUAUUAAAAAAAGAAUAAAUGAAGCAGCUUCCCUAUUCCUGGUCAGCGAAGGAAUGUGUAUCUACUACCCUUACUAGUAAUGUAUGAGAGGAUCCGUGUCCGCCUUCACCUGACCGAACAGUGUUGUCAGAGGGCUGCAUUUUAUGGCUUCAUCACCAGCUUGCCAUGGGCUUUGAACAUAUCACAGUCAGAUGCUUCUCUAUAGGAAAGAAGGAGAGCUGCGAACGCCAAGUGACGUGAAAUUGACGAUUUAUUUAUUUUUUAAAAGGCAUUGUGUUAAUAACAUGGAUAAACAGAGGCUGUAAUGACUGCUAAUAAAGCACUAGUUUAUUAAUAAAGCUGCUUUGUACAUUCUCCC